AUGCUUGCCGUGUCCUCCGCGAGGUGCCUCGCCGCCGCGGACGAGCAGCGCGCCGAGGCCGCGCCCAUGGAGACGGUUGGGGGUGCAGCGGUGGUGGCGGACCUGGACAUAGACUUCGACUUCACCGUCGAUGACAUAGACUUCGGGGACUUCUUCCUCAGGCUAGAGGACGGCGACGCGCUGCCGGACCUGGAGGUCGACCCCGCCGACAUCUUCACCGAUCUGGAGGCGGCGGCCGCGGGCGUCGAGGAGUUUCAGGACCAGCAGGUGCCCUGCGCCGAGCUCUUGGCUGCCGUGGAGGACGUCGGUUCGGUCAGUCCAGCCAGUGGUGUCAUCGGCGUAGACAACACGGCGGUAGGACUAGGAGACGAGAAGCGAGGGUGCAAUCAAGCCGAGGUGGGCGAAAACAUGGGCGGCGGCGACCGCCCCAUUGUGCCGGACGCAAAAUCGCCGUCGUCGACAACGUCGUCGUCCACGGAGGCCGAGAGCCGCCACAAGUCAUCAAGCAAGAACUCCCACGGAAAGAAGAAAGCCAAGGUGGACUGGACGCCGGAGCUGCACCGGAGGUUCGUGCAGGCCGUAGAGCAGCUCGGCAUCGACAAGGCAGUGCCGUCUAGGAUUUUGGAGAUCAUGGGGAUCAACUCACUCACUCGGCACAACAUAGCAAGCCAUUUGCAGAAGUACCGGUCUCACCGGAAGCACAUGAUUGCGCGGGAGGCGGAGGCGGCGAGCUGGACCCAACGACGACAGAUGUACGCCGCCGGCGGGCCGGCCGCGGCCGUGAAGAGGCAGGACUCGAACAUGUGGACCGUGCCAACCAUCGGCUUCGCGCCGGCGCACCCUCCUCCUCCUCCUCCCCCUCCUUCACCGGCAGCCAUGCAGCACUACGCUCGGCCGUUGCACGUCUGGGGUCACCCUACGAUGGACUCGCCCCGGAUGCCGAUGUGGCCGAGGCACACAAUAUCCCGCGCCCCGAUGCCGGCGUGGGCUCCCCCGCCGCCGCCGCCGUCUGACCCGGCUUUCUGGCACCACCCUUACAUGAGGGGGCCCGCAGCGUAUAUGCCGACCCAUGGGACUCCUUGCAUGGCAAUGCCGAUGACACCGAAAUUUCCUGCUCCACCUGUGCCCGUUGCCAUGCCGUGCCCAGUCUAUGCGCCCCCCUCCCCGGCGCCAGCGCUGGCGAGCAAGAACCAACAAGAUUCGCAGCUCCAGCUACAAGCACAGCCAUCAAAUGAGAGCAUAGACGCGGCCAUUGGUGAUGUUUUAUCCAAACCGUGGCUGCCACUGCCUCUGGGUCUGAAGCCCCCUUCGUUGGGGAGCGUCAUGGGCGAGCUCGAAAGGCAAGGCGUGGCCAAUGUGCCCCAAGCCUGCGGGUGA
rnacentral:rRNA from 1 species